AUUGAACGCUGGCGGCAGGCCUAACACAUGCAAGUCGAACGAGUGGCGUACGGGUGAGUAAUGUCUGGGAAACUGCCUGAUGGAGGGUGAUAACUCCUGGAAACGGUAGCUAAUACCGCAUCCCAUCAGAUGUUCCCCGAUGGGACUAGCUAGUUGGUGGGGUAACGACUCACCAAGGCGACGAUCCCUAGCUGGUCUGAGAGGAUGACCAGCCACACUGGAACUGAGACACGGUCCAGACUCAUACGGGAGGCAGCAGUGGGGAAUAUUGCAAAAUGGGCGCAAGCCUGAUGCAGCCAUGCCGAGUGUAUGAAGAAGGCCUUCGGGUUGUAAAGUACUUUCAGCGGGGAGGCGUUACCCGCAGAAGAAGCACCGGCUAACUCCGUGCCAGCCGCCGAGGUAAUAC
rnacentral:rRNA from 1 species